rnacentral:rRNA from 1 species
UACGGGGGGGGCAAGCGUUGUUCGGAAUUACUGGGCGUAAAGGGCGCGUAGGCGGUCUGUUAAGUUGGAUGUGAAAACUCUGGGCUUAACCCAGAGCCUGCAUCCAAAACUAGCAGGCUAGAGUUCUGGAGGGGAUAGCGGAAUUCCUGGUGUAGCGGUGAAAUGCGUAGAUAUCAGGAGGAACACCGGUGGCGAAGGCGGCUAUCUGGACAGAAACUGACGCUGAGGCGCGAAAGCUAGGGGAGCAAACAGG